rnacentral:rRNA from 1 species
UCGGGCUGAAGACUCUACUUGACUAGCUGAGAGGGAGGUGCAUGGCCGUCGUCAGUUCGUACUGUGAAGCAUCCUGUUAAGUCAGGCCAACGAGCGAGACCCACGCCCACAGUUGCCAGCGUACUCUCUGGAGUGACGGGUACACUGUGGGGACCGCCGCUGCUAAAGCGGAGGAAGGAAUGGGCAACGGUAGGUCAGUAUGCCCCGAAUAUCCCGGGCUACACGCGAGCUACAAUGGUUGGUACAAUGGGUAUCUACCCCGAAAGGGGACGGGAAUCUCCUAAACCAAUCUUAGUUCGGAUUGAGGGCUGCAACUCGCCCUCAUGAAGCUGGAAUCCGUAGUAAUCGCGUUUCAACAGAACGCGGUGAAUACGUCCCUGCCGUCCUU